rnacentral:other from 1 species
AAUUCACUGAGGCAUUGGUGACUGCCAACAAUGUUUUUUGAUCUAUGCCUUGUGUUAAGUGGGAACUAAUCUGACGGGUGGCAGUAAACCGGGCUUGUACUCGGGAACUUUAAAUCAGUCGAUCGGAUCCCCCCUGGAGUCUCCAGGUCACAAACUGAGGUAAGACGGUGUCCCGGUGAAGGU